CUUGUCUUUUCUAACAGAACUGAACAUUUCAGAGGUUCUGGCAAAUAAAAGUUCUGCUCAGGUUGAAGCUGAAGGUCACAAAACACCAUAAACUGUCAGACUGGACUUCACCAGCUCCUCAGCUCCUCCUGUAACCUGCAGUCUGCACGGAGCUGAUGGUGUUGGACGGUGAUGACCCGAGCGGAGUGCUGAUAAAGAAGAAGAGGCGUGUUGUGUCCCAGCAGAAACCGAAAAAGUCACCUGAAACAGCUGAAAGUGAACACGAAGAAAGAGCAAAACACAGGACGAGAGAGACUGAAGAGAUGCUACAGAGAGCUGAACGUCUUUCUCUCAGGUUUCCUGCAUGGACGUGAGUUGAGCAUCGAUUUGCAGCACACACUUGUUUGACGGU